rnacentral:rRNA from 1 species
UACGAAGGGGGCUAGCGAUGCUCGGAAUUACUGGGCGUAAAGGGAGCGUAGGCGGGGUUAUCAAGUUGGAGGUGAAAGCCCAGGGCUCAACCUUGGAAUUGCCUUCAAAACUGAUAGCCUAGAGUAUGAUAGAGGUAUGUGGAACUCCGAGUGUAGAGGUGAAAUUCGUAGAUAUUCGGAAGAACACCAGUGGCGAAGGCGACAUACUGGGUCAUGACUG